CCACGUGAUUGGCUGACGUGUAGUGAGUGAAACCCGGACGCGUGAGGUGACUGCGGCCUAGGGCCGUUCGUCACAGCGUGACGCCGGCACCGCCGGCCAAUCCCCAGCAGUCACCCGGCCCGCGGGCUCGUCGGACUCGUCCGACCGACGCCCCUUCCGCCCUCGGGCGGGGGGAGUCGCCCGCGGGCCGUUCCCU
rnacentral:sRNA from 1 species